rnacentral:rRNA from 1 species
UACGUGAGGGGCGAACGUUGUUCGGUGUCACUGGGCUUAAAGGGUGCGUAGGUGGUUGCGGUAAGUAACGUGUGAAAUCCCUCGGCUUACCCGGGGAAUUGCGCGUUAUACUGCGUGACUUGAGGAUUUCAGGGGAAUGGGGAACUCCAGGUGUAGCGGUGAAAUGCGCAGAUAUCUGGGGGAAGGCCGGCGGCGAAGGCGCAUUCUGGGAAAUUCCUGACACUGAGGCACGAAAGCGUGGGGAGCAACAGG